rnacentral:rRNA from 1 species
UUCCGGUUGAUCCCGCCGGACCUGACUGCUAUCGGAUUGAUACUAAGCCAUGCGAGUCUUUGUAGCAAUACAAGGCAGACGGCUCAGUAACACGUAGUCAAUCUAACCUAUGGACGAGGAUAACCUCGGGAAACUGAGAAUAAUACUCGAUAGAUCAUAAUGCCUGGAACGGUUUAUGGUUCAAAUGAAUUUCGCCAUAGGGUGGGACUGCGGUCUAUCAGCUUGUUGGUGAGGUAAUGGCCCACCAAGGCUAUAACAGAUACGGGCUCUGAGAGGAGAAGCCCGGAGAUGGGUACUGAGACACGGACCCAGGCCCUAUGGGGCGCAGCAGGCGAGAAAACUUUGCAAUGUGCGAAAGCACGACAAGGUUAAUCCGAGUGGUUCCUGCUAAAGGAACCUUUUGUUAGUUGUAACACCACUGAUGAAUAAGGGGUGGGCAAGUUCUGGUGUCAGCCGCCGCGGUAAAACCAGCACCUCAAGUGGUCAGGAGGAUUAUUGGGCCUAAAGCAUCCGUAGCCGGCUCUGUAAGUUUUCGGUUAAAUCUAUAUGCUCAACAUAUGGGCUGCCGGGAAUACUGCAAAGCUAGGAAGUGGGAGAGGUAGACGGUACUCCGUAGGAAGGGGUAAAAUCCUUUGAUCUAUGGAUGACCACCUGUGGCGAAGGCGGUCUACCAGAACACGUUCGACGGUGAGGGAUGAAAGCUGGGGGAGCAAACCGGAUUAGAUACCCGGGUAGUCCCAGCUGUAAACUAUGCAAACUCAGUGAUGCAUUGGCUUGUGGCCAGUGCAGUGCCGCAGGAAGCCGUUAAGUUUGCCGCCUGGGAAGUACGUACGCAAGUAUGAAACUUAAAGGAAUUGGCGGGGGAGCACCACAAGGGUGAAGCCUGCGGUUCAAUUGGAUUCACGCCGGGA